ACAAGCAAGCUUGCACUCCGACAGCAGGAGAGCCUCAUGCACAUUGACCUGAAAACCCAGGCAGUGUCUGCUCUGAAAACAAAGACAGCUGCAGUCUGUUACAGCCUAUGUAAAUUAAGUGAAAUCUUAGCUUGAAGUGGUGAUAAUGUGGUCUGCAGCUAAGCAUAAGGCAUUCUUCAGAAACAAAGCAGGCACUGGGACAUACUGCUUUUUGAUUUCCAGAAGACACCAAUGCAUGACAUUCAUGUGAGCCCCUCUUCUGUUCCCUAGCCCUGCUUUGAAAUAUUGUAAGCCAUUAAACUUCCCACUUGAGCAGGUUUUUUAUAAUUGGCAUCAUGUGUGUGUUACUGCUUCCUGAAAAAUGCAGCUUUUCAGCAAUGUCUUCUGAUAGAGUAGAAGUUUUUAGAAAUCUUAAACUUAGCUUUUCUCAGAAUAAUUCCAGGUAUAAAAACCUCUGAGUUUGUCAUUGCCUUUCUUGAUGUUUUGAGUAGAUUGUGUAAUCAGUAACUGUGUAAACUGCAGAGGUUAAUCGUUCACUCUGAUAUCUAGAAGUCAGGCAGGGGGUACGUGAAUAAUUUUUUGUCAUGGUUGAACCUGCAGUUAUUUGGUUUCUCUGUUUACAUUUACUGGGGCUUCAGUUCAUGCUCUGGUGCCUGGAGACGUGAAUCAGAGCCUUGUUAUUAUAAACCAGAACAAAUAACUAAAUGGCGCUGCUCUCUUUGUGAUAUAUGCUCCACGGUUGAGCUCAGUCUGAAUCUCUUGAUCUUCUCAACCCAUACUGUUGCAGAAACUGUUGUCAUCACCUUCCCAAAAAUCACACAGGACCAACAUCCUUCAUCUUUUCAGUCCCUACAAGUUGAAUUCUGUGUCUUCAUGGGCUGCUUUUAAAAGCUGCAAUGGCUCAUAUAUCUAUGAGGAUCCUCAGCUCACUCCACAUACUUACAGUCUCAACAAGGAGGAGGAAAAUACUCUGAGGAACUUCAGUUUCUAAAGAAUUGCAUGUCUUCCUGGACUCAGAAAUUUCAAGAGGCAAGAACGUCAUCCCAUGCUGAAUUUAAGCCAUACUUGGCAUCAUCAGGAGACCAUGGGCUCAGCUGCAGACUCUCCUGAGGCUUAUGCGUGGUACAUGAACUCAAAUAGUAAUUCCCACUCCUUCCUGGCCAUGCAUUGUGCACAAAAGAGGGGAAGAAGCAGGAGCAUCAUUUGCCCUAAGGCAACACUGAGAAGCUCUUACUGUUUGAAGAUGAGGUCAUGAUUGUAGUGGCACAGUUAUUUGCUUCCUAAUGACCCAAGAACUCACUACAAAUAAAAAUAUAAGGAACAACUCUUCCCUUUAUGUGUCUUGCUGAGAGAAUGCUGAUUGCAUCUCAGGAAAUUGUGUUUUUAGGUUAAAAUAAGGUCAUUACUAAGACGUUUUUGCUUGUUUCAGGCCUGGCCUUGUAAUGUCACCUCAGUGAGUUAGUGUAGUUCUACUAAAACAAAGGAGGAGCCUCCUGUUAUUUAAGUGUGGAGCAGUAUGGUUGGAUUUGUUUAUUUUUUUACUGUUUUAUUGAAUUUCUUUGUUUGGGAGAGCAAAGGGAAUGGAUAAAUCUGUGGGCAUCACUGCUGUCUCAACUACCAAACCAUGCUCAGGCAGAUCCAGUGCCACAUCAUUUGUUGGCAUCAUUGUUGUCAACAUAAUUAACACAUUCACAAUUUAAAAAUGAGUGAAAAAGGUGUCAGGUGUUUUUUGUUGUUUUUGUUUUGGUUUGGUUUGUUGGUUUUUUUUGUUUUAGUUUGGUUUUUGUUUUUUGUU